UGAUCUAUGGAAAGUCACCAAUGUACUUCGGAGUACAGUGUUUCCGCUGAGCGAUUCUGUCUGGGAUGGAACAUGUAUGGGUUCACACUUGCUCGGACCUUCCAUUGACAACCACUAACACGACAUGUUGCCACAAAGAGAGUUUUCGUUGACUUGAAUAUUCUGAAGGAGAACCUACGCCUCACCGCUGUCAACCGCAACUCUGAAACAGUGCAUCCUUAUUAGCAAAACUCUGGUUGACAUAAAUUCUGUCUGCAGAUGAUCCUUCUCCUUCACAACCAUAUGCUCCUUUGUAAUCAUCAAAACAUAUUUCAUCAUCUUCUUUCUCAUCAGCGUCUUUAACCUUUCCAUACUCACUAUAAUCCUCAGCAUCAGUGACAACAGGGAUGUCAGCAUCCUCCUCCCCAUCAUGAUCCUCAGCUUCAUGCCCCUCCUCAGCUUCAUCCCCCUCCUCAGCUUCAUCCCUCACAUCAGCUUCAUCCCCCUCCUCAGC
rnacentral:lncRNA from 1 species